GAUGAACGCUAGCGGCAGGCUUAACACAUGCAAGUCGAGGGGUAACAGGGAGAAGCUUGCUUUUCCGCUGACGACCGGCGCACGGGUGCGUAACGCGUAUAGAACCUACCUUUUACAGGAGAAUACCCCAGAGAAAUUUGGAAUAAUGCUCCAUAGUAUUAUUGAGUGGCAUCAUUUGAUAAUUAAACAUUUAUGGGUAAAAGAUGGCUAUGCGUUCUAUUAGCUAGAUGGUAAGGUAACGGCUUACCAUGGCAACGAUAGAAAUAGGGGUCCUGAGAGGGAGAUCCCCCACACUGGUACUGAGACACGGACCAGACUCCUACGGGAGGCAGCAGUGAGGAAUAUUGGACAAUGGAGGCAACUCUGAUCCAGCCAUGCCGCGUGCAGGAAGACGGCCCUAUGGGUUGUAAACUGCUUUUAUAUAGGAAGAAACCUUUCCACGUGUGGAAAGCUGACGGUACUGUAUGAAUAAGCACCGGCUAACUCCGUGCCAGCAGCCGCGGUAAUACGGAGGGUGCAAGCGUUAUCCGGAAUCAUUGGGUUUAAAGGGUCCGUAGGCGGACUAAUAAGUCAGGGGUGAAAUACCACAGCUCAACUGUGGAACUGCCUUUGAUACUGUUAGUCUUGAGUUAUAUGGAAGUAGAUAGAAUGUGUAGUGUAGCGGUGAAAUGCUUAGAGAUUACACAGAAUACCGAUUGCGAAG
rnacentral:rRNA from 1 species